AUGUAAGCAUUUGCUAUUAUUGUUACUGUUGUUUUUGUCUAUUUUGUUAUAAAACAAAUAGGGUGAUAUGGUGGGAAAGGUAGUAUUUAGGGCUAACUAAGGCAGAAAGGCUAGAAACUUGCUUAAGUACACAGGACCUCCCUACCUCACUGUUCUCGCUUACAUCUAAAUCCCUUGCUGACAUUUAAGCCCCUUUCCUUUUGUUCUGCCCACAGGAGACAUGGAGAACAGCUGAUCAAUAUCUCCUCAUAAUAAUCCCCUGAACACCUGAAGACAGCUGUGAGAGCUUAAAGAUUUGCUGAGGCUAAUCUGAACACAGAAACCAGCUGCAACUUUAGGUCAGGGCGCAUUAAAAUGAGCCACUUCUGAACGAGCAGCGCCCAGGCCCCAGGCCCUGCUGUGAAGGCCCCGGCAAAGGUCAGGGCUUGGUCCGCGUGACGUUCCAGCCCGUGCUCAUCCAAGCGGUGCUCUGCCUCAGCAAAGGUAUCUGCCCUCCUAAAACAACAGGAAUGUUGCACUGGCCUUCAGCCAGCGAAGGCUCAGCGAGCAGGAUAAAAUUUCAAUGCAGAUUUACGGGAAGUUGCCGGUGCUGGGAGUAAAA
rnacentral:lncRNA from 1 species